rnacentral:misc_RNA from 1 species
CAGCGGAAGGAUCAUUACUGAUUUGCUUAAUUGCACCACAUGUGUUUUUUAUUGAACAAAUUUCUUUGGUGGCGGGAGCAAUCCUACCGCCAGAGGUUAUAACUAAACCAAACUUUUUAUUUACAGUCAAACUUGAUUUAUUAUUACAAUAGUCAAAACUUUCAACAACGGAUCUCUUGGUUCUCGCAUCGAUGAAGAACGCAGCGAAAUGCGAUACGUAAUAUGAAUUGCAGAUAUUCGUGAAUCAUCGAAUCUUUGAACGCACAUUGCGCCCUUUGGUAUUCCAAAGGGCAUGCCUGUUUGAGCGUCAUUUCUCCCUCAAACCCCCGGGUUUGGUGUUGAGCAAUACGCUAGGUUUGUUUGAAAGAAUUUAACGUGGAAACUUAUUUUAAGCGACUUAGGUUUAUCCAAAAACGCUUAUUUUGCUAGUGGCCACCACAAUUUAUUUCAUAACUUUGACCUCAAAUCAGGUAGGACUACCCGCUGAACUUAA